UACAGAGGUGGCAAGCGUUGUUCGGAAUUACUGGGCGUAAAGGGCGCGUAGGCGGCCCGCUAAGUCGAACGUGAAAUCCCCGAGCUCAACUCGGGAACUGCGUCCGAUACUGGUGGGCUUGAAUCCGGGAGAGGGAUGCGGAAUUCCAGGUGUAGCGGUGAAAUGCGUAGAUAUUCGGAAGAACACCAGUGGCGAAGGCGACUCGCUGGACAGACAUUGACGCUGAGGUGCGAAAGCGUGGGGAGCAAACAGG
rnacentral:rRNA from 1 species